UACGUAGGUGACAAGCGUUGUCCGGAUUUACUGGGCGUAAAGAGCGCGUAGGCGGUCGUUCAAGUCGAGUGUGAAAGCCCCCGGCUCAACUGGGGAGGGUCAUUCGAUACUGAUCGACUCGAAGGCAGGAGAGGGAAGUGGAAUUCCCGGUGUAGUGGUGAAAUGCGUAGAUAUCGGGAGGAACACCAGUGGCGAAGGCGACUUCCUGGCCUGUUCUUGACGCUGAGGCGCGAAAGCUAGGGGAGCAAACGGG
rnacentral:rRNA from 1 species